rnacentral:lncRNA from 1 species
GUUCCAUCAUCCUUUCCAUCAUGUGACAACACAGUGAGAAAAUGGCUGCCUGUGAACCAGGAAGUAGGCCCUCAGCAGACAAGGAAUCUCCUAGCACCUUGAUCUUGGACUUCCCAGCCUCCAGAACUCUGAUGGACUGCUCACAAUUCCCUGAGGCAACGCUAUUAUAUCAAAAAUGAGGUUGUGAGAGCUAACUGAUUCAUUCAAAAUCAAGUUAAAGGCAGAGCUGGAAUUGAAGGAGUUGUUCUUAAGAAGAGGAAAUUCAAACACACAGAGAUACUAAGGAUGCACACAGACAGAGGAAAAAAUCACGUGAGGACACAGCAAGAAGGUGGCCAUCUGCGAGUCAUGGCGACAAGCCUAAGAAGAAGAAAAACCUGAAGGCACCUUGAGCCUGGACUUCUAACCUCCAGAGCGAAAUAAAAUUCCCUUGUUUAAACUACCCAGCCUAUGGUACUAUGUUAUGGCAGCCCUAGCUAAC